UGAAAAUUUUUGGACUUGGACUAGUGUUAUAUACGAACCACAUAAUCUUCUUUUGGAUCUAAAGAUAGUGAUUUAUUAACUGUUUUCUGAUUGGUCAAUAAUGUGGCUGACAAAGAUCGCUACUUUCAGCCUUUGAUAAAUGUUGAUCCAAUGGCCACAGUUAAUUAACCAAUUUUUCUAUCUGUCUCCAAACUUUUUCUUUCCUUUUUAUUUUGUUAUUCUUCUCUACGCCAUAACUUCUUUCUCUUCUUCUUUUCCCUGUCUCUGCACAUCUCUCUUUCUUGUUCUCUAAACCACGACCACCACCGUCUCUUCUUAUUCCUCUUGUUCAAAUGGCGGUGAACUUCGAGGAAGGACGGAAGAGAAGACAACAUGGACACAUGGUCGAGAUCUGGAAAUCCAAGUGUAAGUGAGCUUGCUCCAAAAGUGUCGCUAACGUCUUCAAUCCACACAGAAAGUUCAAUACGUUGCUUAUCCAUUGCUUCUGCUUCAUCGAUCCAGAAACAGUUGGAGAGCUUGCUUUCUAUGAAACUUGAUGCUUGAGACAAAGGUGCGCGGAGAGGAUAGAUAAGCAGUGGUGAGCCGAAGACGAGCUCGACGACAGUGAGUGGGAAGAGCCGUGGUGAUUCCGUCGCCGUCUCCGACGUCAAAGGAAAGAAGAGAGAGAUGCAAGGGCUUGGUCUUCACAGCGAAUGGUGGUUGACGGCGGCUGAGUUGAGAAGCUUGAAAGCGGCGUGUUUCGUUAUUAGGUUUAGUUAGCAAAUAGGUUUAGGGUUAAGCUUGGUUUAGGUUUGGUUUAUUUGGUUUAUUUUUUUCAUGUAAACCAUUUGUAAUUUUUAAUUCAAUCUAAUUUAUAAAUUAUAAUUUUAAUA